rnacentral:rRNA from 1 species
CAGCGCCACGAGUCGCAAUCGCGAUUAUUGGGCCUAAAGCGUCCGUAGCCGGGUCAGCAAAUCUUUUGUGAAAUCGUCAAGCUCAACUUGACGGCGUGCAGAAGACACUACUGACCUUGGGACCGGGAGGAGUCAGAAGUAUUCCAGGGGGACUGGUAAAAUGGUAUAAUCCCUGGAAGACUACCGAUGGCGAAGGCAUCUGACCAGAACGGAUCCGACGGUGAGGGACGAAAGCUAGGGGAGCGAACCGGAUUAGAUACCCGAGUAGUCC